ACGCCCGCUCAAGUAAACUUAAUGAAUUGGACGGGGCCCGCACAAGCGGUGGAGUAUGUGGUUUAAUUCGAUGCAACGCGAAGAACCUUACCUGGUCUUGACAUCCCGGAGACCCUUAGGAAACUAGGGGGUGCUUCCAUCUGGAAGAAUCUGGAGACAGGUGCUGCAUGGCUGUCGUCAGCUCGUGUCGUGAGAUGUUGGGUUAAGUCCCGCAACGAGCGCAACCCUUGCCUUUAGUUGCCAGCAGUUCGGCUGGGCACUCUAAAGGGACUGCCGGUGUUAAACCGGAGGAAGGUGGGGAUGACGUCAAGUCCUCAUGGCCUUUAUGACCAGGGCUACACACGUACUACAAUGGCCGAUACAAAGGGCAGCGACACUGCGAGGUGAAGCCAAUCCCGUAAAAUCGGUCUCAGUCCGGAUUGGAGUCUGCAACUCGACUCCAUGAAGUUGGAAUCGCUAGUAAUCGUGGAUCAGCAUGCCACGGUGAAUACGUUCCCGGGCCUU
rnacentral:rRNA from 1 species